AGUGCAGGUUGAACAUAAACUUUCUGACAGAGCGAUGGCGCAGCGGUGAGAAGCAUCUCUUCAAUGAAAAUUCCGAAAGCUGUUUCCUGGACCAACGACCAGCACUGGCGAGCCUGGGACCUGUGGGACGAGGUGAUCGACUGGGGAGUGAGGAAAGGUUUGGAGGAGUGCUCACCAGCGACACCCCCCACUGUCCAGGCUGGGGAGGUUAUGGGGGGACUGGGAGGUGUGACUGACUGGUGUAAGGGAGGGGAGGGUGUGAGAGUGAUAGGCAAUGCUGGCAUUUUCUCUGAGACUCUUCAGGAAAAUUACGGCCUGACAUCUGAAGAGUGGGAAAUUUAUAAGACGUAUUACCUUCACAAAAAGAAGAAGGUGAGGAAGAAUAGGACCAGUCAGGGGGUAGGUGAGGUAAAGGGUGAGGUUAGUGGGGAAAGGGUGGAGGUGGCAGAGAGGGAAAGACAUGUGGGUAAGAUCUCUGGUGUACAGGUGGAGGGUGCAGACCAGAAUGUAGGCAUUAAUAAAAUGCAAAAUGGAAGCAAUGGGAAGCAAGGAGGGCUGUGGGUAAAUGUGAAGGUGGUUAAGGUGGAGGGGGGGAAUAUUACCCUAAAGGCAGAGGAUACGAAAGGAAAUGUGAAGGUGGAGGCUUUGCAAGUCCGAGUGUGUGAGUUUGGGCUUGCAGAAGUAAUUUCUGGGGAUGUAAAUUUUGAGAUUGUGGGGGUAGAAGUAGGGGAGGUAAUUAUUGAGGGUGUGGACAUGGUGAGAGAUGUAACCAUAUUGGAAAUAAUAGUAAGUGAUGUACUAGUUGAUAUUAUAAAUAGAGAAAGAGGUAAUGAGGAAACUGGCGGUGUAGAGAUAGAUGUGGGUCAGGUAGAGAUAGAAGAUGUAGAAGUGGUGGAAAAUUAAUAUUAAAGUUGAGCUUGUAGAGCUCUUGACACAGAGAAGAGCCAAAAUACAAGGAAGAUGAAGUUGUGGUUCUUCUGCUGCUGUUUGGGGAACAUUAAACGUUUGAAACAGUAUCAAAGAUAAUGAAUUGAGCAUGAUAAAUUUUGAGAUGUAUAGUGGAAUGUUUAUUAAUAAUUGUUAAUGUGGCGCCCCUGAACCCCCUCGGUUGGCCGCCCCUGCCGGUUGUGUGGGGUCAGGGAUGGGGACUAAUCAGGGCCAGUCGGGGAUCUGGCCCCGGUG